rnacentral:rRNA from 1 species
UUCCGGUUGAUCCUGCCAGACCCGACUGCUAUCAGAGUGGGACUAAGCCAUGCGAGUCAACACAGCAAUGUGUGGCAUACGGCUCAGUAACACGUAGUCAACAUGCCCAGGGGACGUGGAUAACCUCGGGAAACUGAGGAUAAACCGCGAUAGGUCACUACUUCUGGAAUGGGUAAUGACCCAAACCUAUAUGGCCCCUGGAUUGGACUGCGGCCGAUCAGGCUGUUGGUGAGGUAAUGGCCCACCAAACCUGUAACCGGUACGGGCUCUGAGAGGAGGAGCCCGGAGAUGGGCACUGAGACAAGGGCCCAGGCCCUAUGGGGCGCAGCAGGCGCGAAACCUCUGCAAUAGGCGAAAGCUUGACAGGGUUACUCUGAGUGAUUUCCGUUAAGGAGAUCUUUUGGCACCUCUAAAAAUGGUGCAGAAUAAGGGGUGGGCAAGUCUGGUGUCAGCCGCCGCGGUAAUACCAGCACCCCGAGUGGUCGGGACGUUUAUUGGGCCUAAAGCAUCCGUAGCCGGUUCCACAAGUCUUCCGUUAAAUCCACCUGCUUAACAGAUGGGCUGCGGAAGAUACUAUGGAGCUAGGAGGCGGGAGAGGCAAGCGGUACUCGAUGGGUAGGGGUAAAAUCCGUUGAUCCAUUGAAGACCACCAGUGGCGAAGGCGGCUUGCCAGAACGCGCUCGACGGUGAGGGAUGAAAGCUGGGGGAGCAAACCGGAUUAGAUACCCGGGUAGUCCCAGCUGUAAACGAUGCAGACUCGGUGAUGAGUUGGCUUUAUGCCAACUCAGUGCCGCAGGGAAGCCGUUAAGUUUGCUGCCUGGGGAGUACGGUCGCAAGACUGAAACUUAAAGGAAUUGGCGGGGGAGCACCACAAGGGGUGAAGCCUGCGGUUCAAUUGGAUUCAACGCCGGG